UUUUUUUUUUUUUUUUUUUUUUCUGAUUUUCAGCCAGGGGAUGCUCUCAGCUCUUGGGGGAAAUCUGCAGUUCCUUGCCAUAUGGCCCUGUCUAUAUGCCCUUGCACAACAUGGCAGAUUACUUCUGCAAAGCCAGCAGUGGAGGGCAGUCUCUCAAGGGCAUGCUGGCAAGAUAGAUAGAUAGAUAGGCAGGCAGAUAGAUAUAGAUAGAUAAACAGACUAGAUAGAUAGAUAGGUCAAUCUUUUGUAGGGGGGGAGGGUAUAUCUUAUAUAUAUUUAUCUUGUAAUUAUAGGACAGAUGUUCUAUCAUUUUGCUGUAUUCUGGUGGUUAGAAGGAGGGUGAUUAUAGAAGGGUGUAACUCAUUGGGGUCACCUUAGGGCAUGUCUGUCACAUGUCCUAAUACUUAUUUGAUGCUUCUUCUGAACAAAGUAUAUCUUUAUUUUAUUUACAGAUGUGAGUAUCAAUGGUGAUGAUAAAAUCACAUCUGACAUUAAUAGAUAAGGAUGUAUGGACAUAGCUAUUGUCCAUUGGGGUAAUCUGAGUGAGGCUCAAUAUAAUUCCAAUGAAUAGUUAGGUCUUGAAAUUCUUAUCCAUAGAAAAUGAAUCUGAAAACCAGAAUUUGAAAAAUGAAGUGUUUUAGUUUACAUUGUUUAGUUGGCUAGGGUCAGGAAGUGAGCCACACUGGCUAUGAGGUGCUCUAGACAGGGAGAAAAGCAUGUGCUGUUUCUUGUUCUUCCCCUCUGGGGAAGUAACCGAUUUUGAAAAUAAAAGACCAGAGCUGACUUCAUUUAAAAAGUUCAAGAAAUAUACAUUAAUUGCCUACUAUGUGCUAGGGCACAGGGAAUAAGAAAGGAAAAUGAAUCAUUCAUCCUCUGGCCUUGAGGAAGUUUUAAUAUUUAUAUAUUAAGUAUAAACUCAAGUAAACACAGUGUGCCAUGGGAGCACAGCUAAGAGAAACCUAGCUAAAUUUUAAAAGGAUGGUAUACUAAGCUGAAUAACGGCCCCCAAAGAUAUCUAGUCUUAAUUCAUUUCUGGAACUUUUAAAUGUUAAAUUAUAUAGGAAAAGGGUAUCUGCAGUUGUGAUUAAGAAUCUUUAGGAGUUCCUGUUGUGGCUCAGUGGUAAUAAACCUGACUAGUGGAGGUUCAAUCCCUGGCCUCGCUCAGUGGUUUAAGUAUCCGGCAUUGCCAUGAGUUGUGGUGUAGGUCACAGACAUUGCUUGGACGUUGCAUUGCUGUGGCUGUGCUGUAGGCCAGCAGAUGAUUCAACCCCUAGCCUGGGAACUUCCCUAUGCUGCAAGUGCAUCCCUAAAAAAUAAAAUAAAAAAUAAAUUUAAAAAAAAGCAUCUUGAGAUAAGGAGAUUAUCCUAGAUUAUCAGGGUGAGCCCUAAAUGGAAUUAAAAUUAUCCUUCUAAGAAGGAGACAGAGGGCUAUUUAACAGCAGAAAAGAUAAUGUGACCACAGAAGCAGAAACUGGAAGGCAGCUAUGCUAACCACUGUACCACCAACACUUUGACCAGAAGCAGAAAUUGAAGUAAUGCAGCCACAAGCCCAGGAAGGCUGGCAGCCAUCAAAAGCUGGAAGAAACAAGGAAUAGACUCCCCCCUAAUGACUCUGAGGGAGCAAGACCCUGUGGACACCUUGGAUUUAACCUAGUGAAGCUGAAUUGGGGCUUCUGACCUAAGGAACUGUAAGAGAAUACAUGUAUGUAGUUUUACACCACAGCAUGUGCAGUACUUGUUUACAGAAGCCAUAGGAAUCUGGUAGAGAAGAUACUACAGGCAGAGAGAAAAGCUUGAGCACAGUUAUGAAAGUAGGAAGCAGCUAAGAGAUCCAGGGCACUGAAAUACCUCUGCAUUCCUUGAAAGCAAAGAAUGAAUGAAAAUGGUGGGUCAGUUCCCAUUGUGGCUCAGCAGAUUAAAAACACGACAUAGUAACCAUGAGGAUGUGGGUUCGAUCCCUGGCCUUGCUCGGUGGGUUAGGUAUCCAGCAUUGCCACCAGUUGUGUGGUAGGAGAAGAGUUCCCUUGUUGUGUAGUAGGUUAAGGAUCUGGUGUUGUCACCGUGGGGGCUUGGAUCGCUACUGUGGUGCAGGUUUAAUCCCUGGCCAGGGAACUUACAUAUACCAUGGGCAGGGCCAAAAAUGGUUUUUAAAAUUAAAAAAAAUAAAAGAUAAUGAGAAAUCAUGGUGUGAUAGAGACAUAAAGAGUUGUCAAGAAUUUUAAAGAGUUAUCAAGAAUUUUAAGUAGGAGAGAAAUCAUUUAUUAUUUAUUUAUUAGUAUGUCAUUUAUUAUUUAUACUCCACUCGAGAAAGUAGUAUAAAAUAUAGUUUGGAAGUAGUGCAAUAGAAGAAGUAAGAGAAGCUGAAGAAUACCUAUGAAAAGGCUAUUGUGUAUACUCAAAGGUUCUGAAUUAGACUAGCAAUAAGAUCAAGGGAAAUCUGUUUUGAGAAAUACAUAGCCAAUAAAAAUCAGAAAAUCUGGAGAGGUGGUAUAAAAAAACAGAGAGUACACCUAUGAGGAGUAGUAAAUUCUGACUUAAAUGAUUAGGUUGAUUGUAGUGUCAUUGACUGAGUUUUUGUUAUUUAAUUUCACUAUCAGAGGCAGUUUGAAGGAGCAGAAUUUUCAUUUUAUUUAUUUAUUUAUUUAUUAUGGCCUCACCCACGACUUAUGGAUGUUCCUGGGCCAGGGAUUGAAUCUGAGCCACAGCUGCGAACUACACCACAGCUGGGGCAACACUGGAUCCUUUAAUCCACUACACCGGGCCAGGGAUGAAACCAAAUCACCGCAGUAGGAUUCUUAACCCAUUGUGCCACAGUGGGAACUCUAAUGCUUUCAUUUUUAGAUGUAGGUUGAAGAUACUCUUGAGGCUGUCCAGUAGCAAGCUGGCUGUACAAGUCUAACGCUGGUGCAAGAGGCAGAGCUGUUGGAACAUAGAACAUGCAGUUUGUCUUACCAAUACAUUUUCAGUGCAGAGUUAAGUGUUUUUUUUUUUUCCUUUAUGACAGGGAUUUCAAAUUGAUGUGUAAAUGAUUUUUUGAAAAAACAUCCACUUUGCUCUCUCCAGAAGAAAGUUGUUCAUCCAGACUUUUGUUUUUUAGAUGGUUUCUUAAGCCAAAUGCCUUAGAUACUUGGGAAAUUCUAAAAAUCAUAUUAAGUAAAGUAUUGCUGCUUAUUUUAACAACCCCAUAAAUAGGCAUUACAGACCAUAUUUUUUACCAGUUUGGAGGCAUGCACUCUGAGACUCAGAGGGGGUUUUAAGUAUGGAACCCAGAGAAAUACACUUAAUAAGCAGAAGUUAGGACUGAAGCUACAGUUUCUUUGACACAUAAUUCUAGUGUUCUUUAUACUCGAUCAUGCUGGCUCUUGGCAUUAAAAUUUUUCUUCUUAAAGCUGAGUGAUUCUUGUUCUUGACAUUUGUUGAAGCUGAUCUUUUCUAUCAGCUUGUAGUGCUAUGUAACAAAACCAAAACAUUACAGAAAUCAAUUUUAAAACAAAUUAUAGUCCUAUAAUAUAUAGCAUAGCACUUAUAUCUAGCAGGUCUUCCAACUGUCAUUUAUUAAUUGUUGUCUGGUAAUUUUGAGUGUUCAAGCUUAACAGCUAAACUUUUAAUAGAUGAAGUCAAUAUAGCCAACUUAUUAUUCUAACUUUGGUUAUAGAGAACACAUCAUUUGUUUCUGAUAGAUUUCUUAUUUAUUUAUCUAAACAGGUAUUUGUGCUCUGUCACUCUGAUAAUUAGGUUCUUCCCAAAAGGAACUCCAGCUGAAAACAAAUACCUUCCCAUGAGAAUCUGAACCAGAAUUCCCUUUUGCAAAUCUGUGCAAUCUCGUAGUCUGUAUUCUUAGACUUGUUCUCCUUGUUCAAUGAUGAAAUUAUUUAGCUACAUUCUAUACAAGUUGCAAAGGAAACUGUAUUUUGUUAUAGGAAUCUUCGCAAAAAGAUACCUGAUCAAGGAACAACACUGACGAUUGUUUCGCUCAAGAAAAAAUGAGUUUUACAAAUUACCAUUGUCUUGCUUAGUUUUCUGUCCUAUAUGGACACAUUUUUAAAAACCAUUUGUACCACUAGCCUAGUUCCUAAGAAACCUGUAUUUGUUCCCACUCUUCCUUCCUCCUGCUUUAAAACUGUAAUAGUGACCAUUUGGGGGAUUCAAGUUGAGCAGUAGUUCUCCACUGGACUUUAGGCCUGGACAAGCCAGCUGCUCCUUAGGGACUCAGCUCCAUGACUGGGUUUUACAUACCCAAAUACAUCUCAACUAAGAAUUCCCCUCAGUCUGGGGUGCCCUCUUCCUUAGUGAUCAUUAAUAACAAAUUAACAUUAGUAGUUCAGACAAGUCUUGCUGAAUCUGAACGGAAUUGAGACAUAGAAACAUAAGAUGUUCAAAGAUGUUUAGGAUACUAUACAUGGUAAUAACUCUUGGGGAUAAUCAGUGGUAAUGAAAAUGGAGAAAUUCUGAGAAAUAUUUGUGAAAACAUGUGUGCAAAAACAGAAUGGGUUAAGGGUGAUAAAAAGUGUAUAGGUCCGUAAUACUGGGUGACUAACUGUCUGAUUAAUAGAAGUGGAAACAUCGAGAAGAAAAGAUAAUUUAAAUUCAAGAUAUAUUCUAUUGGAGAGUAAGCUAAUGAUUUAAAUAGCUAUAAAGUGUGUUAAGUAAGAAAUAUAUGAUGUAGGAUCUCAGCAAUAUUACUCAGUUUUAGCAAAGGGAAAACAGGAGGAUCUGGAUGUGAAUAUGAACUAGCCUGUCAGAUAGUCCCUAUGGAGAGAUGGACUAGACUUUUUUUUUUACUUAUUUAUUUUUUAAAAAAUUUAUUUUUAUUUUUGGUCUUGCCCUGUGGCAUGCAGAAAUUCCCAAGCCAGGGAUCAAACUUGUGCCACAGGAGCAACUCGAGCCACAGAAGUGACCACGCCGGAUCAUCAACCCUCUGUGCCACCAAAGAACCUCUCUUUUUUAAAGCUAUAUUUAUUUUAAAACGUUCAGACGUAACAAUUCCAUUUAUUGUGCUCAUAUAACUUGUUUAUUUUCCCCUGAAAUCCAUUCCCAGAAGGUUAGGUUCUGGUAAAAUAGCUUUCUCCUGAAGGGCAGGCUGUGUUAAGAGAAUACCUGGAGGAUUUCAAAGUGGUUCCUUGUCCUCUCCCAUUGCCAGAAGGGUUUUUCUCUCAGACAUGCAUGGUAAGAAUCUGGUAGAGCGCCUGAGUAUACAACUCAAAAGUACAGGAGCUUCUUUCCUAUGACUAGUUCCCCCUGGAUAUUUUAAAGUCUAUACUGAGCUUCCAGCUACUUGUCAGUUACAAUUCAGAUUUUUCUAUUCUGGCACUGGUUCCCACAGAAUCAGUGGGUUUCUGUUCUGGUAAGCUGUGUUUCUGUCUCUCUAGUUUUGGUCACUUGGUUUUCCUUGGUUUUCCUUGGUUUUCCUUGUAACCUCACUUUUCUGAUGGAUCUAAGAGAAGUUGUUAAUAUUUUAGUUUGUUUGGCUUGUUACUUGUUCUUAGGAGUGAGUGCUGACUUCCAAGCUUCUUUUAUACAUACUACACCCCUAUGUUUCAUUUUUAGGGCAAAAACAUUGGUAAAAGAAAUAUAUACAGCAUUCUGAGUGAAAUGGACAGAGUAAUUACUACCAUACUUAUUUUAUAGAUGGUAAGAAGACUGGGAGGGAUUAAAUAAUUAUCCCAUGAUUAUACAUCAACAACUGGCAAAUCUAUGCUUUCGAUAAGAUUUGACAUUAAUAUUACACUUUAGACUUAGAAAAACGAAAGCACAUUUAUAGAUUUAUAGAAUUGCUAGAAUUUCUCAAGCUGGAAUACAUAUUUUUCAGAUAGUUGCCACCUUUUAAGUCACCAAUCAAGAAAUCAAAUGCAUUUAAAUAUUAGGCAGGUAAAAUAAAUGUGAGAAAUGAUAUAAAAUCAACCAAGAUAAAGUAAAAGGAGGUUCUGCACAUGGUGCUUAACUAAGGAGUGAAUGCCUACCCCCAUUUAAAUGUAUUCGAACACAAAGUUGGGGGAAAAAACAUGCUAAAAUUCUCCGGCUGGACUUGUACCCCAAAUCACCAGUUAUUAAAAGCUCCUUGUAAGUGAUCAAAUUGUAAUGUUUUGGCGAAUUUUUAAAAUGAUGUAAGGGAGUUCCUGUUGUGGCACAGUGGAAACGAAUCUGAGUAGUAACCAUGAGAUUGUGGGUUUGGUCCCUGGCCUCGCUCAGUGGGUUAAGGAUCUGGCAUUGCAGUGAGCUGUGAUGUAGGUCACAGAUACUGUUCCGAUCCCUCGAUGCUGUGGCUGUGGCUGUGGUUGGCAGCUGUAGCUCCUAUUCAACCCCUAGCCUGGGAACCUCCAUAUGCC
rnacentral:lncRNA from 1 species